rnacentral:rRNA from 1 species
UCCUACGGGGGGCAGCAGUCGGGAAUAUUGCGCAAUGGAGGAAACUCUGACGCAGUGACGCCGCGUAUAGGAAGAAGGUUUUCGGAUUGUAAACUAUUGUCGUUAGGGAAGAUAAAAGACAGUACCUAAGGAGGAAGCUCCGGCUAACUACGUGCCAGCAGCCGCGGUAAUACGUAGGGAGCAAGCGUUAUCCGGAUUUAUUGGGUGUAAAGGGAGCGUAGACGGGAAAUUAAGUUUGUUGUGAAAUCCCACGGCUCAACUGAGGAACUGCAAUUAAAACUGGU